UGGACUGGACCAUGAGCGGAGCCCGUCUGUGGCGGCGCAUCGCUGUCUAGUUUCAGUUUCGUUCUGAGGGGCGCGGGGCGGCGCUGGCUGCACCUCGCUUGAGCGGCGCCAUCUGGGUUUGUGCAGCGCGGCGGCCCCGGAGCAGAGUGGAGCGAGCCCGCCGCGCCCCCCGGGCCAGCGCAGCCCGGUCCGGCCCCGCGAGCCGACAUGGGCCUCGCCUGCCGCCUCUCCGCGCUCGGGCUGCUGCUGAGCGCCCUGCUGGUAUGCACCCGCUCUCAAGAUCGUGAGUCUGUGUUUGCCAUUGUGGGAGAAGAUUUUACUUUUUCACCAAAAGUAAACGGAACUAUAAGAGAAAUUACCUGGAUGAAAAACAAAGAUAAAGCGGCUGAAUGGGAACAGGAUGCUAAGUCACCUGUGUAUUAUUAUAGCUUAGCAGAAAGAGGAGUGCUUGAGACAUCGUCUGGCAAUUUGACCAUCAAAAAGUUAAACAUUGGUGAUGCUGCAGAGUAUGAAGCACAAGUUCUGCCUGUUGGCGUUGACCAGCUCCAAUACACAAAAUUUGUACUUGCCGUAUUGGAUCCUCCUCCACCAUCAGUAUUAAAUUGCAGCAUCACUAAUGGUCAGAUUAGAAUAUCAUGUGAGAUACAGUUCUCAAAGGAUGUGCGCUACAGUUGGUAUCGGGAUGACAGAAAAAUUGACGCUAAUAGUCCUGUUCUCGAACUUAAAGGAAAUGUCAACCCUUCAGAGAAAGUUUUGUGUGUCAGAGAAGUCUCCAAAACAAAAAUCAACAACUCAAUCUCUCUGAGCACAUGUAUCCCAGAAAAUCCUGAAAGUCUUUCAAGGGGUAGAGCUGGUUUAAUAGCAUUUUUUGUUAUUAUUAUUAUUCUCCUUCUAUUCAUGGGAGCACUCGUCGUUCUGUGGAAAAGAGGUUUGCUUUCCAACAUUCUCGAUCAGAUACCCACAAAGCACUCAGCUGUAUAUAAGUCUGAAGAACAACACCUUACAGACGAUGACAGAUUCCCCGAAGAAAGUGGCCAAAAAGAAGACUAUGAAAAUAUCUCAGGCAGGAAUCAGGAGCCAGAGGAAAAGAAGAACUCAAAAGAGAGUCUAUCAAUGAACCAGGCUGACAAUUCCUCCAAUCAAGAGAAAACAGAGGAAAAGAAGAAGUCAAAAGAGACUUUAUCAACGAACCAGGAUGACAAUUCCUCCAAUCAAGAGAAUCCAGGUGUGUUGCCAUCACACUCAGGCCAGAGUUAAGUGGGGGAAGUGAGACACAUGUGCUGUAUGGCAGUGACUAGCUGCUUGCCAGGGAAGAAGACGUGCAUGGCUGUGAAGUGGCCAGUGGAGUGAAAUGGUAGUGAAGUGUUGGGAGGGGAUGAGGUGACUCAGGUAUUGAAUUCACUAGAAGUUCUUUCAGUGCUUGAACAUGUUGCAUUUCACUGUUGGGCUGGCUCAAUUUGGUAACAGUAUUGUUCUCCCUCUAAAGAUUGCAGACUGAAAACCUGCCCUGGGAAAGGGGCAUGGCAUGAUGUGAUAUUAGGACAUGAGAGCUUUGUGCCAAAAUGUUUUAGUUAAUACAAACAACAACCAAUUUUAACAGUCUGGGGGGAAAAAACUCUCUUCUAAUGAUUGGGUUUCACUUCCAUGGUGUCUAUGAUGCCAUAAUCCUACAAAUUCUUCCACCUGAAUGUGCCAUGUAAAUUAACAUGUGGAAUUAAAAAAAAAAAUCAGGCCCCCAUUAUACAUCAUAAUGAAGUGAGAAAGGGCACAAACUUGUUACACACUCUGGAAAGUAAUUAUUUUAAAAGAUUAUGAAACUAUCAAGUAACUGGCAUGUACUUUCGCUGUAAUUCUUUUCUACAGCCUGUGUAUUUCUGUGCAAUUGCUGAAGAUUGUUCCCAGGCGAAUCAAAGAGAAGGGUAGGCUGCUUAGCAAAGAAAGAGCAGUUACUCUUUAUCCAUACCAAUAACCUGGGUUUCAGCAAGGAGUGGAGAAACAGGAAUGAGAGGAGGUUUAAGGGUUAUUGGUGUUUUUUUAUAUGCAAUCUGUUAUAAAUGUGUGGUGCUUCAUAAAGCAGCAUUCCAAAGGUUUAAUAACAGCUCUUUACAAUUCUGUGGUACCUUAGAUUAGAUUCAGAUGAGGCAGACAGUGUGUCUGGGAAUCAGUGCACAGAACUGGGAAUCAGGAGACCUGGGUUCUCUUCCUGACUAUCACUUGCUCACUGUGUGAUCUUAUUAGGUAGGUUACUACUUCUAUGUGUGCCUCACACUCCCAGUCUGUAAAAUGGGGAUAAUAAAAUGAUCUUUAUGAAAUGCUUAGAGAACCUCCAGUGAAAGAGGAAAUAUAAAUAUAAAGUAUUAUGAUAGAUCCUGGCUCCUAGUCCAGUGCAUUAGCCAUGCUAUACUCUCCCUUUUCUUUGGGUACAUCUAUGGUGCAGCUGGAGGUGUAAUUUCCAGCUCGGAUAAACAUGCGUUCACUUGCUUUGAUCGAUUUAGCUAGCUAAAAAUAGAGUGCACCUGCGGUGGCCUGGGCGGUGGCCUGGACUAGACUCCUGAGUACAGUCCUGUCUGAGAGCCUACCUACGUACUCGGGGCAGCUAACCCGUCUCUGCCGCCUACAUGGCCACAGCUGUGUUGCUAUUUUUUAGUGUGCUAGGUCAAUCGGAGCUCUUGAGCUCAAUCAUAUCUCCCCGAGCUGGAAAGAUACAUCACCAGCUGCAGUGGAGACAUCACCUUAGAAGUUUUAGAAGAGAAAUCUCAUCUUCACCACACUAAGUGAUGGCUUGAGAACAUUGCUGGAAAAGGGGUGCUGGUGAGCUCCAUGAAAGUUGCCAAGCAGACUUAGAAAGGAAUGUAUUUAUUUUCCUUGUUUUUUGCAAAGCAUGAAUCAAAAACCAAAUCUGUACCAUAAGCAAUAUGACAUCACCUAAAUAAGGCAUGUCAAUAAUCCAGUAAAAUCUCUUCCCUUCAGUUCUACUUUCAUGCACUUUGACACACUUCGGGCCUGAUUUUUUUUCUUUUCAGAUGUGCUGAGCACCUCAGCUCCCAUUGAAUGUUGGUUGAGUUGCUGGUAAUCAGCACUUCUGAAAAUCUGGCCCUAGUUGGGAACCUAAAAAUUGAAGCAUCUAAACUUAGUGGCCACUUUUUAAAAUGUAAGCCAAAGUGACUUGCCAAAGUUACAUGUAAAGUCUGUGACAGACCCAGAAACAGAAUCCAGAUUUCUUGACACCCAUAACCACAAAACUUGCUUUCCUCUUUUGAUAUUGGAUACCAAUCCCUUAGCAUUCAUUGAAUGACACAUCUGACUAUACAAACUAGGUAACAAGAAAGUGUAACAAGCACAUAAAUUGAAUGAAACCGCUUUAAAAGCAAUGGGCCAGAUCUCAGGUUGGUAUAAAUCAGCACAGUUCUACUGAAGCCAUCAGGGAGUGUCUGGCCCAGCUGCCGGGAUCCUGCCCUGACUAGAGGGAGCUGCACCUGGAGGUAUGAUGGGGGUGUAACAGGGCAGACCAGUGGUAUGUUCCAAGAACUAUCCUGCCAGUGCUGUGCAUAAUAGUUGAGGUUGUGGUCGUGCAUUGUCUUGCACAUUUUGAUACUCCUUCAGGGGCUGAUCCAACUCUUAGUAAAGUCAUUGGAAAGAUUCCUGCUGUCACCGGUGGUAGUUGGAUGGGUCCUUAAAGGGCAGUUGGAAUCUCCUGUCUCUGUGACUCUAUCUUUUGUUAAGCCAGUCACAUGCUCUUGUUAUGAGUAGCUUGUUUUCACUAACCUCCUUCAAAGUCUCAUCUCUUUUUCCUUUGGGUAGAGUAGCACCCCCUCACCCCCCAGCCUUCCUGAAUGCUGGCCUCUUCAGUCAGUGUCUUACACCUGGGCAUCAACUCUGAUGGGUUCGGGUUUUUGUGCAGUCAGGUUACAUUAAUGUAGAGCACUAAUGAGUCAGGGCUGGUUAAUUUACUGCCCUGCCUUUCCACUCAAUGCAAGUGAGCUAUGUAGCAGUGCACCGAAACAAACACGUCCCACACAUCACAAAAUCGCUUAUUAGGUUGCUACUAAACCAGGUUUCCGUGGGAUGCUAUCCCAUGUGUCACAUUUUUUAUCCCUUUUUACGCAGGAGUUCCUGAGAGUAAAGAAAGAGUUUACCAUUAAAAAAACAAAAAACAAAUUGCCUUCCCAGUCUUAUUAAGAACACUUCAGAGUUUAAGGUUUUAGUAAUCAAGGUUCUCUUCUCCAUUUACGUUGGUGGUUUGUUUUUUGCAUUUUACUCCAUUUGGACAAGGGCUUGUCUCCAUUAGAAAGCCUUCAUGCUUUAACUAUACUGGCAUAGUUAAAGUGGGCAAAAAACCAAAACAGAUCCUUUAUGUGGAUUCACUUAUACCCGUAUAAAAGAGCUCAUACUGGUAUAGUUUAUUCUGGUUCACAAAGCAAAAUAAAUGAUAUUGGUAUCAGGCACCUUUAUCUGUGCAUAACUGCAUCCACGCACAGGCUUAUACUGGGUCUACUAUAUUAGUAAAGAAUCAGCCUCCUAAUCAAUAGUUAUUCCAGUAAAACUUUUCUAGUGUAGAACAUGUCCAAGAACAAACUAAUGAGUUUCACUCGUAUAUCUAAUUAGUAUCACAUUCUGAUUGUCAGGCACUAAUCCAAAGCCACAGUGCUUGGGGCUGAAAACACUGAGCCCUGGUCUACAUGCACAAGUUUUGCUGGCUGGCAGGAAGGUGAGAAAAUCACACACCCUAACUGACAUAACUCUGCUGGCAAAAACCCUAGUGUAGAUGCGGUUAUACUGGCACGUUCCUUUUGCCUGUAUAGCUUGUUUCAUUCAGGGACUUGUUAUAAGCUGCGUCUCCACUAGCAGGAUUUGCCAAUAUUGGUAGAUCUGUCCAGCUAUGCUAGCAAACCCUUUCUAGUGUAUAUAAGGGGGAGAUGCAAGUUAUUUCACAAAGUAUUUGUAUUAACACUAGGUUUUGUAAUAGCUACAACUAAAGCCUAAAUGUGAGCUCUAAACAGCCUGACAGUGUCCCAGAACAUGUAACUCUGCUCUUACUCAGGUGAACUCCCAUUGACUCUGUCUCAAUGAGACCUGAGUAAAAAUCUGAAUAAGUUGCUCAGUAUUUAACCCUUGAGUCAUAUUUAUAUAGCACCACAUAGAUACAUGGGGCUCUCCAAAAACAUGGGAAGAAAAGGGUUCUGCUGCAUUUUCGACAGAAACGGUGCAAACAGUUAAAGAUCAGUACUAGAUGGGAAUAGUCUGGGAGUGGAUCAAAAACACUGAGGUUUAAAAAGGUGUCGCUGAGUUCAUAGUAGAGGGUUGCACUGUUUUUAUUGUAUUGGUAUAGUUCAAGUGUGUGUGUGUAGACCGAGCUGGA